rnacentral:rRNA from 2 species
UUUGACGACCAUAGCAUUGUGGACCCACCUGAUUCCAUGCCGAACUCAGAAGUGAAACACAAUAGCGCCGAUGGUAGUGUGG